UACGGAGGAUGCAAGCGUUAUCCGGAAUUAUUGGGCGUAAAGCGUCCGCAGGUGGUUGUGUAAGUCUGCUGUCAAAGAGCGAAGCUCAACUUCGUAAAGGCAGUGGAAACUACACGGCUAGAGUGCGUUCGGGGCAGAGGGAAUUCCUGGUGUAGCGGUGAAAUGCGUAGAGAUCAGGAAGAACACCGGUGGCGAAGGCGCUCUGCUAGGCCGCAACUGACACUGAGGGACGAAAGCUAGGGGAGCGAAUAGG
rnacentral:rRNA from 1 species